GGACCCGCACAAGCAGUGGAGCAUGUGGUUUAAUUCGACGCAACGCGAAGAACCUUACCAGCGUUUGACAUGAGAAGUGCCGGUUACAGAAUGGUAACCUUCAGUUCGGCUGGCUUCUACACAGGUGCUGCAUGGCUGUCGUCAGCUCGUGUCGUGAGAUGUUGGUUAAGUCCCGCAACGAGCGCAACCCUUAUCGUUAGUUACUAACAGUUCGGCUGAGGACUCUAGCGAAACUGCCGGUGAUAAGCCGGAGGAAGGUGGGGAUGACGUCAAGUCCUCAUGGCCCUUACACGCUGGGCUACACACGUGCUACAAUGGUUGGUACAGAGGGCAGCUACCGGGUGACCGGAUGCGAA
rnacentral:rRNA from 1 species